GUGAGGGGGGUGACUAGUGAGGGAGGGGGUGACUAGUGACAGAAUGAGGGAGGGGGUGACUAGUGACAGAGGGAGGGAGAUGGUGACUGUCACUAGUCACCCCAUCCCUCCCUCUGUCACUAGUCACUCCCUCCCUAACUCUGUCACUAGUCAUCCCCUCCCUCACUCUGUCACCAGUCACCCCAUCCCUCCCUCUGUCACUAGUCACUCCCUCCCUAACUAGUCACCCCUCCCUCUGUCACUAGUCACACUCUCCCUCAC